rnacentral:ncRNA from 1 species
AAUUCUCAAAGGAUAAGCAUAAGACCUUAAUUUGAAAAUU